rnacentral:rRNA from 1 species
UACGAAGGGGGCUAGCGUUGCUCGGAAUCACUGGGCGUAAAGCGCACGUAGGCGGAUCGUUAAGUCAGGGGUGAAAUCCUAGAGCUCAACUCCAGAACUGCCUUUGAUACUGGCGAUCUUGAGUUCGGGAGAGGUGAGUGGAACUGCGAGUGUAGAGGUGAAAUUCGUAGAUAUUCGCAAGAACACCAGUGGCGAAGGCGGCUCACUGGCCCGAUACUGACGCUGAGGUGCGAAAGCGUGGGGAGCAAACAGG